rnacentral:rRNA from 1 species
GACGAACGCUGGCGGCGUGCUUAACACAUGCAAGUCGAACGGAAAGGCCCUGCUUUUGUGGGGUGCUCGAGUGGCGAACGGGUGAGUAACACGUGAGUAACCCGCCCUUGACUUUGGGAUAACUUCAGGAAACUGGGGCUAAUACCGGAUAGGAGCUCCUGCUGCAUGGUGGGGGUUGGAAAGUUUCGGCGGUUGGGGAUGGACUCGCGGCUUAUCAGCUUGUUGGUGGGGUAGUGGCUUACCAAGGCUUUGACGGGUAGCCGGCCUGAGAGGGUGACCGGCCACAUUAGGACUGAGAUACGGACCAGAAUCCUACGGGAGGCAGCAGGGGGGAAUAUUGCACAAUGGGGGGAAGCCUGAUGCAGAAACGCCGCGUGCGGGAUGACGGCCUUCGGGUUGUAAACCGCUUUCGCCUGUGACGAAGCGUGAGUGACGGUAAUGGGUAAAGAAGCACCGGCUAACUACGUG